GGGUUGUGAGGUUAAGCGAAUAAGCGUACACGGUGGAUGCCCUGGCAGUCAGAGGCGAUGAAGGACGUGCUAAUCUGCGAAAAGCGCCGGUAAGGUGAUAUGAACCGAUACAGCCGGCGAUGUCCGAAUGGGGAAACCCGGUGCACUCAGUGCAUCAUCGCAACAUGAAUACAUAGUGUUGCGAGGCGAACCGGGGGAACUGAAACAUCUAAGUACCCCGAGGAAAAGAAAUCAACCGAGAUUCCCCCAGUAGCGGCGAGCGAACGGGGAGCAGCCCUGAACCAUCAUCAGUGUGUGUGUUAGUGGAAGCGUCCGGAAUGGCGCACGAUACAGGGUGAAAGUCCCGUACAUGAAAAUGCACAUACUGUGAGUUCGAAGAGUAGGGCGGGACACGUGGUAUCCUGUCUGAAUAUGGGGGGACCAUCCUCCAAGGCUAAAUACUCCUGACUGACCGAUAGUGAACCAGUACCGUGAGGGAAAGGCGAAAAGAACCCCGGCGAGGGGAGUGAAAAGAACCUGAAACCGUGUACGUACAAGCAGUGGGAGCACCCUUUGGGGUGUGACUGCGUACCUUUUGUAUAAUGGGUCAGCGACUUAUAUUCUGUAGCAAGGUUAACCGUAUAGGGGAGCCGCAGGGAAACCGAGUCUUAACUGGGCGUUAAGUUGCAGGGUAUAGACCCGAAACCCGGUGAUCUAGCCAUGGGCAGGUUGAAGGUUGGGUAACACUAACUGGAGGACCGAACCGACUAAUGUUGAAAAAUUAGCGGAUGACCUGUGGCUGGGGGUGAAAGGCCAAUCAAACCGGGAGAUAGCUGGUUCUCCCCGAAAGCUAUUUAGGUAGCGCCUCGUGAACUCAUCUCCGGGGGUAGAGCACUGUUUCGGCUAGGGGGCCAUCCCGGCUUACCAACCCGAUGCAAACUGCGAAUACCGGAGAAUGUUAUCACGGGAGACACACGGCGGGUGCUAACGUCCGUCGUGAAGAGGGAAACAACCCAGACCGCCAGCUAAGGUCCCAAAGUCAUGGUUAAGUGGGAAACGAUGUGGGAAGGCUCAGACAGCCAGGAUGUUGGCUUAGAAGCAGCCAUCAUUUAAAGAAAGCGUAAUAGCUCACUGGUCGAGUCGGCCUGCGCGGAAGAUGUAACGGGGCUAAACCAUGCACCGAAGCUGCGGCAGCGACACUAUGUGUUGUUGGGUAGGGGAGCGUUCUGUAAGCCAUUGAAGGUGGACUGUGAGGUCUGCUGGAGGUAUCAGAAGUGCGAAUGCUGACAUAAGUAACGAUAAAGCGGGUGAAAAGCCCGCUCGCCGGAAGACCAAGGGUUCCUGUCCAACGUUAAUCGGGGCAGGGUGAGUCGACCCCUAAGGCGAGGCUGAAAAGCGUAGUCGAUGGGAAACAGGUUAAUAUUCCUGUACUUGGUGUUACUGCGAAGGGGGGACGGAGAAGGCUAUGUCAUCCGGGCGACGGUUGUCCCGGUUUAAGCGUGUAGGCUGAGAUUCCAGGCAAAUCCGGAAUCUCUUAAGGCUGAGGCGUGAUGACGAGGUGCUACGGCACUGAAGUGACAAAUGCCCUGCUUCCGGGAAAAGCCUCUAAGCUCCAGGUAACACGAAAUCGUACCCCAAACCGACACAGGUGGUCAGGUAGAGAAUACCAAGGCGCUUGAGAGAACUCGGGUGAAGGAACUAGGCAAAAUGGUGCCGUAACUUCGGGAGAAGGCACGCUGGCGCGUAGGUGAAGGGACUUGCUCCCGGAGCUGAAGCCAGUCGAAGAUACCAGCUGGCUGCAACUGUUUAUUAAAAACACAGCACUGUGCAAACACGAAAGUGGACGUAUACGGUGUGACGCCUGCCCGGUGCCGGAAGGUUAAUUGAUGGGGUUAUCCGUAAGGAGAAGCUCCUGAUCGAAGCCCCGGUAAACGGCGGCCGUAACUAUAACGGUCCUAAGGUAGCGAAAUUCCUUGUCGGGUAAGUUCCGACCUGCACGAAUGGCGUAAUGAUGGCCAGGCUGUCUCCACCCGAGACUCAGUGAAAUUGAAAUCGCUGUGAAGAUGCAGUGUACCCGCGGCAAGACGGAAAGACCCCGUGAACCUUUACUAUAGCUUGACACUGAAUAUUGAGCCUUGAUGUGCAGGAUAGGUGGGAGGCACUGAAGUACGGACGCCAGUUCGUACGGAGCCAUCCUUGAAAUACCACCCUUUAAUGUUUGAUAUUCUAACGUGGACCCGUUAUCCGGGUUGCGGACAGUGUCUGGUGGGUAGUUUGACUGGGGCGGUCUCCUCCCAAAGAGUAACGGAGGAGCACGAAGGUUAGCUAAUCACGGUCGGACAUCGUGAGGUUAGUGCAAAGGCAUAAGCUAGCUUGACUGCGAGAGUGACGGUUCGAGCAGGUGCGAAAGCAGGUCUUAGUGAUCCGGUGGUUCUGAAUGGAAGGGCCAUCGCUCAACGGAUAAAAGGUACUCCGGGGAUAACAGGCUGAUACCGCCCAAGAGUUCAUAUCGACGGCGGUGUUUGGCACCUCGAUGUCGGCUCAUCACAUCCUGGGGCUGAAGUAGGUCCCAAGGGUACGGCUGUUCGCCGUUUAAAGUGGUACGCGAGCUGGGUUUAGAACGUCGUGAGACAGUUCGGUCCCUAUCUGCCGUGGGCGCUGGAGAAUUGAGGGGGGUUGCUCCUAGUACGAGAGGACCGGAGUGAACGCACCACUGGUGUUCGGGUUGUCAUGCCAAUGGCAUUGCCCGGUAGCUAAGUGCGGAAAAGAUAAGUGCUGAAAGCAUCUAAGCACGAAACUUGCCCCGAGAUGAGUUCUCCCUGACCCUUUAAGGGUCCUGAAGGGACGUUGAAGACGACGACGUUGAUAGGCCGGAUGUGUAAGUGCAGCGAUGCAUUGAGCUAACCGGUACUAAUGACCCGUGAGGCUUAACCUUACAACGCCAGAGGCGUUUUG
rnacentral:rRNA from 1 species